rnacentral:misc_RNA from 1 species
UGUUUUUGUGCAUCCCUAACUUGCCCCAUUUCAAUUCUGCAAAUUUGCUUGCGUUUAUUUUACACAGCAGAGUCGAUAAUUUUAUGCGCCGUAUACACUUUGAGUUUGCUUACUGAAUUUUUCAUACAUUAUUACUAACAAUGAGCCCAAGUAUUGUGUGGCAGUACUACGAUAAAAAAGAAAAAGGAAUUGCGAUCUGCGUAAAGUGCGGGAAAUGCUUUAAGUACCACAGCAGCACAACCACGUUAAAAAACCACGUAGAAAAAGUACACAAAAUUAAAAUGGAGAAAACUGACAUCAUUGAGCUUGUGGACAACGAUGAUGACAAUGAGCCGAAUCAAAAGAAGUCUAAAUCUGUUUACCCAAUACGAAAUUCCUUUGAAAGAGCAGUAUCAUUUUCUGAUAACAGCACCAAAGGGAAGGAAAUUUCAAAUGCGUUAAUGUAUAUGAUAGUUGUGGACGACAUGCCACUUUGUACACCUGAAAAAGGGGGUUUUUUAAAGUUCUGCAAAACGUUGCAACCUUUAUAUAAAGUGCCUACUGAAAAAACAAUGACGUCAAAAAUUGAAACAAAAUAUAGUGCAAUCCGAUUAAAGGUCAAAAACGAACUCAGUCAGGCGAAAUCUGUAUGCCUCACAUCGGACAUAUGGACAAACUCUUCGACUAUGCAAAGUUAUGUUGGAGUAACUAUACACUUCGUUAAAGGCAACAAUGAUCAUCGAACCGACUACAGCAAUAGGCAAAAUAGCAAAAGACGUCCUGUUGACCGAGGUCCAAAAACGUUACGCAAAUUUGGAGGCGGUGGUUAUUUACGGUGUGGCAACAAUACUUGAUCCAAGGUACAAGAAGGCUGCCUUCGAAAACUCAAUCUACUGUUCGCGGGCUGCUGCUUUUAUUGGUAACUUAUUAAUAACCAGCCAAACCCAAAGUAAUGAAUCUGUGGAAAUUAUCGCUGAGCUUCAAACAUCGGACGAAGGAGGCAUAUGGUCAUAUUUAGAUCAAAACAUUAGCAACAGUCAAUGCAAUAGAAGUAACGUUUCGGAAAUAAAUUCGGACCAGCUGCGAGCUUAUUUAAUCAGGCCCGCUGUUUCUCGAAAAUUAAACAAAAACCCUUUAACAACUUGGCAGGCGUUGAAAAAUGAUUUUCCUUUGCUUUUUCCAAUUGCCCAAAAACAUUUGUCAGUUAUGGCAACGUCAGUCCCAUGUGAGCGACUAUUUUCACAUGCUGGACUUAUAGCAACCCAGUUGAGGAACCGUCUCUCACCCGAACAUUUAAAUAUGUUAGUAUUUUUGCGGUCAAUUGAGGAAGAAAUGUGGGACAUAUGAGGCUAUUAGCGCAAGACUUGGUCUUGGUCUGUACAACCACUCUUACAGUGGCCGUAAAAAUAAUAGCACUUUAAUAUUUGGACAUGUUUUGACUUAAUUUUAAAAUAUUAUAUAUGUAAAAUUCAACAAAAUUUCCAAAUUAAAAAAAA